UACGGAGGAUUCAAGCGUUAUCCGGAUUUAUUGGGUUUAAAGGGUGCGUAGGCGGUCGGAUAAGUUAGAGGUGAAAUCCCGAGGCUCAACUUCGGAAUUGCCUCUGAUACUGUUCGGCUAGAGAGUAGUUGCGGUAGGCGGAAUGUAUGGUGUAGCGGUGAAAUGCUUAGAUAUUACUCAGAACACCGAUUGCGCAGGCAGCUUGCUAAUCCGCAUCUGACGCUGAUGCACGAAAGCGUGGGUAGCGAACAGG
rnacentral:rRNA from 1 species